CUCCGACUUUUUAGGGUUGACAAUCGAAAAAAAUAACAUGUAACCAUAAACGGUUAAAUAAAUUCAGUUUCGGUGCCGGCCGGAAGUUCCAGUUUGAUUUCCACUUUGCCAACAAACGGGUUGGCCUCAUGAUGCCCUAUACAGCUUGUUCUUAGAAAGUUGUUUUUUUUAAAUUUAUUUUUACACGUCUAAUAUUGCAAUGUGCUUACAGUAUUACGCAUAAUAAGUGCAAUUGCAAAAGUCAUUGUAUGUUUCAUGCUAUAUCUGAAGUGAACGUUCCUGCUUCUAAUUAUUUGACUAUAUAGUAAAGCAACGUUACAGUAAAGAUUUGAAAUGACACUACAACACUCAGUUUACACUCAACCGACACUCUUCAGUACAGGCGAGCUCAUAUUGAUUGAGACUACGUUCACACAACACCGGAGCGAAAAAAUGUGGGCAGAAUUUACGUGUGUUUUUCGCACAACGCCGUUGCAGUUUGGUUACAAAUUAAAUUAGCACUCAUG